UGUAAGCGUAUACCAAAGUUGUUGCAGUUAAAACGCUCGUAGUCGGAACUUGGCCGUUCCGGAUGUGUGCACGUCGUGUGCGCACUUUGCAGGGGCGGCUUUUGUGGUCUUGCGUAGGAUGAGGCACUUUUAUUAGUGAACGUCCUCACGCAACCACUCUUUACUGUGAGAAAAUCAGAGUGCUCAAAGCAGGCAUUUGCCGUGAAUGUAUUAGCAUGGAAUAAUAGAAUAGGACUCGGUUCUAUUUUGUUGGUUUGUUGGGACUGAGUAAUGAUUAAGAGGGACAGUUGGGGGCAUUUGUAUUUCGGCGCUAGAGGUGAAAUUCUUAGAUUGCCGAAAGACAAACUGCUGCGAAAGCGUCUGCCAAGGAUGUUUUCAUUGA
rnacentral:rRNA from 1 species